rnacentral:lncRNA from 15 species
CUUUGUUGACCUUAUAUUGAACCCUGCUUUAUGUGAGUAACCCAGGAAGGUUUUGGUUCAUCAACGUGACUUCCACAUUAUCUGAUCUCUCUCUCUCUCUCUCUCUCUCUCUCUCUCUCUCUCUCUCUCUCUCUCUCUGCAUGUGUAGCGGUUGUCUCUCGCCCUCAGGUUCAGACUCGUCCCGUCAGUCUCGUUCUCGUCUCUCUAAAGAUAAACUUCAUUCUUCUUCACUCAACCACAAACACUUCCUGUUCUGUCAAAACACCAGACGAAGAAACAGCUCCUGCUCCCUGCACACAGGAGACAUUUACAGACGUCACACUGGUCCUGUUCCUAGCCCCAGUCCUGGUCCGGCAGCUAUUUGUUUAUAGGGGCCCCCUCCUCCCUCCAUCCUCCAUCAUCCAUCCAUCUUCUGCCUGUUCUCCAGCUGCAGCUUGUUGUAUCAGCACACAGGGAAUUAUUUUCAACCUCAUCAAAUUGAAAACAUCCAUUAGUGCAGAGCCACAUCACAGUGAGGGGACGGAUGGAUGGAGGGGCAGAUGGGGGGGGUAUCUCAUGUCAGCAGACGGGAUGAUUUAUUUAGGGGAGGAGAAGAAGAAGAAGAAGAAGAAGAAGAAGAACAAGGAGUAG